rnacentral:misc_RNA from 1 species
GCUGGAGCCUGCCCGUGCAGCGACGCCUACGCAUGCCUUCCUCUUCAGUUGUAGGCACAAGUGCUACCUAGCCUUGGCCGAUACCCGGGUUUCCUGUGUUUCAUACCUACUAGAUGGAAUUGGACCGUAAAUCAUCGAACGAUCGCCUAAUGCCACCCUCGUUUCGUUGGUGGUUGAGGGCGAUCUGCUAACCAAAUUUUGUGAUCUUCGCGGAAUGAUUUCAAAACCUUGCUGCCAAGGCCCAGCCUUCUUUGCUCGAACGGAGGGAUCAAAAAAAUAGGGUGGGCACGGGUCUUUCUUGACCCCAAUUUGCCCCACACACGAAAAAACAUUCAAACAACUUUUGACGGGCACUGGGCCUUUUGGGCCGCAACCCUCAAAUCCGGGAAGAAAUGUACCU